CACCGCCGUCCCCACUGCUCAACCUUGCUUAUCCAACUGGGUUGCGCUAUCUGUUUGCUUAAAAGGGAAAGUGCUUCCCAUUUGGAUGAGUUAGCUUGGGGUGUGGCAACCAGGGAUGA
rnacentral:precursor_RNA from 13 species